rnacentral:rRNA from 1 species
CACGGGGGGAGCAAGCGUUGUUCGGAAUCACUGGGCGUAAAGGGCGUGUAGGCGGUCAAGUAAGUGGAAUGUGAAAGCCCCCGGCUUACCCGGGGAUCUGCAUCCCAAACUGCUUGGCUUGAGUACGGGAGAGGAUAGGGGAAUUCCUGGUGUAGCGGUGAAAUGCGUAGAUAUCAGGAGGAACACCGGUGGCGAAGGCGACCGUACGUC